AGCGAACGCUGGCGGCAGGCUUAACACAUGCAAGUCGAGCGAGCUGAUUCCUUCGGGAUGAAGCUAGCGGCGGACGGGUGAGUAACACGUGGGCAACCUGCCUCAUAGAGGGGAAUAGCCUUCCGAAAGGAAGAUUAAUACCGCAUAAGAUUGCAUCUUCGCAUGAAGAAGCAAUUAAAGGAGCAAUCCGCUAUGAGAUGGGCCCGCGGCGCAUUAGCUAGUUGGUGAGGUAACGGCUCACCAAGGCGACGAUGCGUAGCCGACCUGAGAGGGUGAUCGGCCACAUUGGGACUGAGACACGGCCCAGACUCCUACGGGAGGCAGCAGUGGGGAAUAUUGCACAAUGGGGGAAACCCUGAUGCAGCAAUGCCGCGUGAGUGAUGACGGCCUUCGGGUUGUAAAGCUCUGUCUUCGGGGACGAUAAUGACGGUACCCGAGGAGGAAGCCACGGCUAACUACGUGCCAGCCGCCGCGGUAA
rnacentral:rRNA from 1 species